rnacentral:rRNA from 1 species
UACGGAGGGGGCUAGCGUUGCUCGGAAUCACUGGGCGUAAAGGGUGCGUAGGCGGGUCUUUAAGUCAGGGGUGAAAUCCUGGAGCUCAACUCCAGAACUGCCUUUGAUACUGAAGAUCUUGAGUUCGGGAGAGGUGAGUGGAACUGCGAGUGUAGAGGUGAAAUUCGUAGAUAUUCGCAAGAACACCAGUGGCGAAGGCGGCUCACUGGCCCGGUACUGACGCUGAGGUGCGAAAGCGUGGGGAGCAAACAGG